rnacentral:rRNA from 1 species
AUUGAACGCUGGCGGCAGGCCUAACACAUGCAAGUCGAGCGGAUGCAGGGAGCUUGCUUGCGGAUUCAGGGGCGGAGGGGUGGGUAAUGCCUAUGUAUCUGCCUGGUUGCUGUGUAUAACGUCCUAAUACGGGCGAUCCUACCGCAUACCUCCUUAGGGCGAAAGUGGGGGAGCUUCGGAUCUUCCGCUAUCACAGGAGUGUAGGUCGCAUUAGCGAGUUGGUGGGGUAAAGGCCUACCAAGGCGACGCUCCGUAACUGGUCUGAGAGGAUGAUCAGCCACACUGGAACUGAGCCACGGUCCAGACUCCUACGGGAGGCAGCAGUGGGGAAUAUUGGACAAUGGGCGAAAGCCUGAUCCAGCCAUGCCGCGUGUGUGAAGAAGGUCUUCGGGUUGUAAAGCACUUUAAGUUGGAAAGAAGAGCAGUAAGUUAAUACCUUGCUGUUUUGACGGUACCAAAAGAAUAAGCACCGGCUAACUUCGUG